GAUGAACGCUGGCGGCGUGCCUAAUACAUGCAAGUCGAGCGAACAGACGAGGAGCUUGCUCCUCUGACGUUAGCGGCGGACGGGUGAGUAACACGUGGAUAACCUACCUAUAAGACUGGGAUAACUUCGGGAAACCGGAGCUAAUACCGGAUAAUAUAUUGAACCGCAUGGUUCAAUAGUGAAAGACGGUUUUGCUGUCACUUAUAGAUGGCUCCGCGCCGCAUUAGCUAGUUGGUAAGGUAACGGCUUACCAAGGCAACGAUGCGUAGCCGACCUGAGAGGGUGAUCGGCCACACUGGAACUGAGACACGGUCCAGACUCCUACGGGAGGCAGCAGUAGGGAAUCUUCCGCAAUGGGCGAAAGCCUGACGGAGCAACGCCGCGUGAGUGAUGAAGGUCUUCGGAUCGUAAAACUCUGUUAUUAGGGAAGAACAAAUGUGUAAGUAACUAUGCACGUCUUGACGGUACCUAAUCAGAAAGCCACGGCUAACUACGU
rnacentral:rRNA from 1 species